rnacentral:lncRNA from 1 species
AACCUUUCAAAUCUAUCUGAUGGAUUAUCCUGGCCAAGGCUUAGCUAAAUUGAAAUACAGUGAUACAUCAUCUUCAAUAAUUUGGAUGCCAUCUUGAUCCACAUACAGACUUCGUAAGUAUUUGACUGUAUCUAGUAGUUUUCCAUCACUGUAUUAGAAAUCCAAAUAGUCUGACAUCAAAAUACAGUGAGUUGCUUGCAAAUCACUAUAGUGAUCUC